rnacentral:rRNA from 1 species
CCUAGUGUCUUCGGUGAUGCAGCUAACGCAUUAAACAUUCCGCCUGGGGAGUACGGUCGCAAGAUUAAAACUCAAAGGAAUAGACGGGGACCCGCACAAGUGGUGGAGCAUGUGGUUUAAUUCGAAGAUACGCGAAGAACCUUACCUAGCCUUGACAUAUUUAAGAACUCCGUAGAGAUACAGAGGUGCCUUCGGGAGCUUUCUUACAGGUGCUGCACGGCUGUCGUCAGCUCGUGUCGUGAGAUGUUGGGUUAAGUCCCGCAACGAGCGCAACCCUCGUCACUAGUUACUAACGGUUCGGCCGAGGACUCUAGUGAGACUGCCUUCGUAAGGAGGAGGAAGGUGAGGACGACGUCAAGUCAUCAUGGCCCUUACGGCUAGGGCAACACACGUGCUACAAUGGCCAGGACAGUGAGACGCGAUACCGUGAGGUGGAGCAAAUCUAUAAACCUGGUCUCAGUUCGGAUUGUAGUCUGCAACUCGACUACAUGAAGCUGGAAUCACUAGUAAUCGUAGAUCAGCUAUGCUACGGUGAAUACGUUCCCGGGUCUUGUACUCACCGCCCGUCACACCAUGGGAGUUGAUUUCACCCGAAGCGGGGAAGCUAAACUGGCUACCCUCCACGGUGGAAUUAGCGACUGGGGUGAAGUCGUAACAAGGUA